rnacentral:rRNA from 1 species
AUUGAACGCUGGCGGCAUGCCUAACACAUGCAAGUCGAACGGCAGCACGGGGGCUUGCACCUGGUGGCGAGUGGCGAACGGGUGAGUAAUACAGCGGAACAUGUCCUGUAGGGGGGGAUAGCCCGGCGAAAGCCGGAAUAAUACCGCAGACGAUCUACGGAAGAAAGCGGGGGACCUGCGGGCCUCGCGCUAUAGGGUUGGCCGAUGGCUGAUUAGCGAGUUGGGGGGGUAAAGGCCUACCAAGGCGACGAGCAGUAGCUGGUCUGAGAGGACGACCAGCCACACUGGGCCUGAGACACGGCCCAGACUCCUACGGGAGGCAGCAGUGGGGAAUUUUGGACGAUGGGCGAAAGCCUGAUCCAGCAAUGCCGCGUGUGUGAAGAAGGCCUUCGGGUUGUAAAGCACUUUUGUCCGGAAAGAAAGCCUUGGCCCUAAUACCGUCGGGUUAUGACGGUACCGGAAGAAUAAGCACCGGCUAACUACGUG